rnacentral:rRNA from 1 species
AACGAACGCUGGCGGCAUGCCUAACACAUGCAAGUCGAACGAGACCUUCGGGUCUAGUGGCGCACGGGUGCGUAACGCGUGGGAACCUGCCCUUAGGUUCGGAAUAACUCCCCGAAAGGGGUGCUAAUACCGGAUAAUGUCUUCGGACCAAAGAUUUAUCGCCUUUGGAUGGGCCCGCGUUGGAUUAGCUAGUUGGUAGGGUAAAAGCCUACCAAGGCGACGAUCCAUAGCUGGUCUGAGAGGAUGAUCAGCCACACUGGGACUGAGACACGGCCCAGACUCCUACGGGAGGCAGCAGUGGGGAAUAUUGGACAAUGGGCGAAAGCCUGAUCCAGCAAUGCCGCGUGAGCGAUGAAGGCCUUAGGGUUGUAAAGCUCUUUUACCCCGGAUGAUAAUGACAGUACCGGGAGAAUAAGCUCCGGCUAACUCCGUG